rnacentral:rRNA from 1 species
UCUACGGGAGGCUGCAGUGAGGAAUAUUGGUCAAUGGGAGAGAUCCUGAACCAGCCAAGCCGCGUGAGGGAAGACGGCCCUAUGGGUUGUAAACCUCUUUUGUCGGAGAACAAAACCCGGGACGUGUCCCGGACUGCGUGUAUCCGAAGAAAAAGCAUCGGCUAACUCCGUGCCAGCAGCCGCGGUAAUACGGAGGAUGCGAGCGUUAUCCGGAUUUAUUGGGUUUAAAGGGUGCGUAGGCGGGAAAGCAAGUCAGAUGUGAAAACCAUGGGCUCAACCUGUGGCCUGCAUUUGAAACGGUUUUUCGUGAGUACUGGAGAGGCAGACGGAAUUCCUAGUGUAGCGGUGAAAUGCGUAGAUAGUAGGAGGAACACCAGUGGCGAAGGCGGUCUGCUGGACAGCAACUGACGCUGAGGCGCGAAAGCGUGGGGAGCAAACAGGAUUAGAUACCCCGGUAGUC